UUCUUGCUGCUGGCUUGGACAUGAAGACGGAGACUCUACUCAAGUGGCGAAUGUGUAGUGAUCAUUCUAGACCAGACGACUUUGAAAAACCCUGCAAUCUAAAGGACCACAAGUCACUGACAACGAAUGCGGUUCCAUCCGUCUUUCUAGAUGCACCAACAGCUACUGAUGAACAGGCUUGGCUUCAGUCUGUCCAGA